rnacentral:misc_RNA from 1 species
GAUGAAGAACGUAGCGAAAUGCGAUAAGUAAUGUGAAUUGCAGAAUUCAGUGAAUCAUCGAAUCUUUGAACGCACAUUGCGCCCGCCAGAAUACUGGCGGGCAUGCCUGUCCGAGCGUCAUUUCAACCCUCGAACCCCUCCGGGGGGUCGGCGUUGGGGAUCGGCCCUCCCUUAGCGGGUGGCCGUCUCCGAAAUACAGUGGCGGUCUCGCCGCAGCCUCUCCUGCGCAGUAGUUUGCACACUCGCAUCGGGAGCGCGGCGCGUCCACAGCCGUUAAACACCCAACUUCUGAAAUGUUGACCUCGGAUCAGGUAGGAAUACCCGCUGAACUUAAGCAUAUCAAUAAGCGGAGGA